ensembl:lncRNA novel transcript
GCUCUUUCAGAACCACUGGCCUGUGAGGCCUCCCCUAGACUGCAAGGCCCUUCAGGACAAGAUUGUGCCUUAAUCAUGUUGGCAUCCUAGCAUGGCCUGGCUUGUCACAAGAACUCGCUGCAAGCUAAUAGCCUGUCAGGAGUAUGGAAAUAUAUAUCUGAGGUUUGUGAUUCUGCAUGGGAUCAGGAUUUCCAGGAGUGCCUGUUGGAGAACACUCUGCUCUGUGCUUCUCAUGUCUUAAUGUUGGUUCUUAAUGUUAAUUCAAACCAGCUGUGGCAGACCCAGUUGUUCCUAGAAGUUGCUAUCUCUGUCUUUCACAUUCUGCAAUUUUAUAUGCACAUACAUUCUAUGAAACUUCAUGAAAUUUCUAUGAUAUUUGUGUUUCGGAGAAUGCUCCUUAUAACUCUGAUUUCAUGCAAAAAGUUACUGCCACAUAAAUGGGGAGGUGAUAUCAAUUAUGCAGUACUGGAUUCAAACAUCAACUCUGUUACUUACUAGUUGGGUGAGCCUGGAAAAAUCUCUUAACUUUUAUGUCCUUCGCUUUCUUGAUCUGCAAAAUGAAGAUGCAAAUGAUCUUGGUUUGGAGUCUUCUAGUGGUCUACAGUAUAUGGAUGCAACACUUUUAGGGUCUGCUCCAGUUACAGUACCAGGUUAUAAGGAUUGUACCAUCUUGUUUUAAAAAUGAUAUGAAGUUAAACUCUGAAGCACUUAGAACAGGUCUAGCACAUAAUAAACUUUUCGUAUGUAUUAGUUACUACGAUUACCAUAAAAAUCUCAAGAAAAUAUUAAUUCUCUGCUUCGGAUAUUGGACAGAACUCUAAUUAAAUCUGAUAUAUGCCUACCGUGGGAAGCUCACUUUUUUUCUGCAUUGCUAGAGCAAUAAAUACAAUCAAAUGUUAAAAAAA